UACGUAGGGUGCGAGCGUUAAUCGGAAUUACUGGGCGUAAAGCGUGCGCAGGCGGUUUUGUAAGACAGAUGUGAAAUCCCCGGGCUUAACCUGGGAACUGCGUUUGUGACUGCAAGACUCGAGUGCGGCAGAGGGGGGUGGAAUUCCACGUGUAGCAGUGAAAUGCGUAGAGAUGUGGAGGAACACCGAUGGCGAAGGCAGCCCCCUGGGUCGACACUGACGCUCAUGCACGAAAGCGUGGGGAGCAAACAGG
rnacentral:rRNA from 1 species